rnacentral:rRNA from 1 species
CUACGGGAGGCAGCAGUGGGGAAUAUUGCACAAUGGGCGCAAGCCUGAUGCAGCCAUGCCGCGUGUGUGAAGAAGGCCCUAGGGUUGUAAAGCACUUUCAGCGAGGAGGAAAGGUUCAAGGUUAAUACCCUUGAGCUGUGACGUUACUCGCAGAAGAAGCACCGGCUAACUACCGUGCCAGCAGCCGCGGUAAU